UUUGAUCAGUCGGCUCGAAGGACGAACGCUGGCGGCGUGCCUAACACAUGCAAGUCGAACGGGGUGAUUCCUUCGGGGAUCACUUAGUGGCGAACGGGUGAGUAACGCGUGAGGAACCUGCCUUUCAGUGGGGGACAACAGUUGGAAACGACUGCUAAUACCGCAUAAUGUAGCGAGACCGCAUGAUCUUGCUACCAAAGCUUUAUGUGCUGAAAGAUGGCCUCGCGUCUGAUUAGAUAGUUGGUGAGGUAACGGCUCACCAAGUCGACGAUCAGUAGCCGGUCUGAGAGGAUGAACGGCCACAUUGGGACUGAGAUACGGCCCAGACUCCUACGGGAGGCAGCAGUGGGGAAUAUUGGGCAAUGGGGGAAACCCUGACCCAGCAACGCCGCGUGAAGGAAGAAGGCCUUCGGGUUGUAAACUUCUUUUACCAGGGACGAAUACGUGACGGUACCUGGAGAAAAAGCAACGGCUAACUACGUG
rnacentral:rRNA from 1 species